UCUGACUAUCUCAACAUUAAAACUGAUUUUUGAAUCCUCACCCUCAGGUAAGCCUGUAGUAACUGCAGUUGCCUGAGUAAACUCAAGAUGAGCAGAACCGCCCAGCUGAGACCAGCCCAGAAUCUAGAAUUGUCAAUAGAAGCUCUUUGCCAUGAAGGUUUGAGUUUGUUAUUAACAGCCUCCCAGACACAUUCCUUCUCUGAGGAGCAACAAAAAGCUGAAGUGAAUGCCCUUGCACCUUCAUCUCUGAACGUGCUGGGCAAAGAUAAGUAGUAAGACUCCUGCACAUUGAGUGAGUGGACAACCAAGAUACGAGCACGGAAUGUUCCCUUGAUUCUGCUUUGAAUUGUGAACAGCUGUCCUGAUCCAUCUCUCAUCGCCUGAAGCUGCUGGUUCAGACUCAGCAAUAGCCAGCACAGUUCUACCACAGUGUCUUAAAGGCAUGAAGUCAGCUCACAUCACACUGAACAUGGGAACUUAAAAAAAUAUGCUCAAGGAGCGAUUCUUUUUUGCCAUUAUUGAAUGCAACAAGAGAGUGAAGCUGAGACGAUAAAGUAACUUGUACAAGAUCAGAAAGAGACAGGGAGAGAAUCCACAUGGCCGUAUAUUAAAAGGAACUGUGAAACUACAAG